GCACCGUGGUUCUGGGGCCGGACUUCUCUCUCAUUUAGUAAUAUAGUAGCAUUACAUAUAUGAUUAUAACGCAGGGCGUAUAUCAAAUAAUAUUAUACGCCGCGUAGCGAAGCUUCCAGAGCGCCGCAGCGUACGUGCCGCGCGGCUCGGCGCGGCUCACGUACGCUGAAGGGCGCGCGACCUCUAAACAACAGCGCGUUACCUAGGCGACGCGCCAGCGCUCAGAUCUACUUCGCACGCGAGCGCGAUAACAUCGCGCGACGUCGCGCAUUAUUUUCGGUUUUUCUAAAAUGUCUUAAAACGUUGGUGACAGUGACAGUGGCACUUCUCGAGCACGUAGUGCCACGAUCAUUGUGGGUUAAGAGCGCCCUAUGCGCGAAGUAUGAAAUUGACGGAUAAUUACUGCAUCUUGUUUUCAUAGUGUUUUAAGAGAAAUACACUAUUGAGCCUCGUUUAUUUCAUACAUAUACAUCUUAUUCUUACUUUUACGAAUUCAGGCGACUCUCCGUCACUGUAAUUAAUCGGAAAACAUUGUUCUCUGUCUCCGAUCCGACGCGAAAAAGCUGCUGUACCAAAGUAUGUAAACACGACAUUGGAAGACUUGAUUUUUUCAUGCUGAGUGAGAGCUCGAUUCGAAGAUCUAACGUAUAGAAAGCUGUUAUUCCAGAGGAUGCAAGCAUGUUACCAGAGGAUCUGGUUCGGGCAAAGUGGGGUUGGCUCGAAGAAUUGGAAGCAGAACGUGGCCACCCCUCGCAGUAUGCUGAGGUAAGUGAGAAAACUGAUUACGAGGAAAUUUAAAGUGGUAAACAAUGAUCAAACAUUAAGAUCAGUGCGAUUUACGUUCCUUAUAGAUUUUUGUAAAAAAUAUGGCUUAAAACAAUUAGGGAAUAAUUUCUUGAAACGCUUGUGUUAUCUGAUAAAUAUUUCAAGAACAAUAAAUAUAUUUUUCUUACAAAAAUAACUUGCUUAAUCUUUAAUAUGAGUAAUAUAACGUAAUAAUAAAAUAUAUAUAUGAAUGUGAUAAUGAAAUAUACAUAUGAAAUAUAUAUAUGAAUGUGAUAAUGAAUAGCUUGAUAUAAUAAUGAACGUAUUUAUUUACAUAUGUGUGUGUUACUUUACACACAUCUAUUUAUUUUCGCACUUAUUUCAAAGUAUAAAAUUAUUUGAUGUAACUGUUCAUCUGCUAUGAUUCCCUGAUUGUUGUUGUUAUGUAUUAUGCACAUUAAAAUUGCACUACUACGCGCGAAUUUCGCAAUUGUUUAAUUUAUGUUAAUUCAGAUCUCGUAAUUGUCGCAGUCAUUUACUUCGUCAUUUUUUCAUAUGUUCGUACAUACAUAAAUUCAUGUGAUAAUUGCGCGUUUCACGGAUAUCUCGUGAGAUUAAAUUUGUCACAAUAUUGCUAAGAUAAAUAUCAACAAGUAAUUUACCGACAAAGCAAUUCAAUAUAACGGUAGCACGUGUUAUUCGUGAAAAGUAAGUCGGACAUACACAAACCGAGCUUUUCGCUUGUUUACACGUCACGAUUAUGGAGUUUAACGCCUUUUUUGUUUACAUAUCAUAUAUAACGUGAUCGACCUAUAUUUUAGAUGUUUACACAUGCAAAUGCGAAUCUAAAUUGAAAUCUUGAUUGAUGAUGCUACAUCACACAAUUUUUUUCUAUUCUUUCAGCUUUUUCUUUUCCAGCGUCAGAAAAAAACAUACAGAUUAUAAGCAAAUAAUUAUUUCUUUAUUCUCUUCAUUGAUCUUUAUUAGAUUAUUUAAGUAAUGCAUACUCUCCGUAAAUCGCACUGAUUUUUAACGAAAAACGCAAGCGGCUGCCCGCUGCGACUUCAGACUGAAUAGUUUGAAAGCGCCAUAGCGUGUUCACACGUAAACACCGCAUCGCGUAUCUCAAUCGUUGAGAUGAUUUGCUACGGAGUGGAACGCGGCGCAAUCUCGUAAGCCGUUUCGUAUUCUCGCAAUUUUAGCUCGCUCAAGGGUGAGUCUCGUGCGCGAAUCGUGAUCGGGAGUGCCGCAAGUAAGUGUUCGCGCGUUCGUCGUAGAAAAACAACGUUGGAAGUGCGUGUAUCUCGCGACACUGGCCAGCGGGAGUGCCGAGAUAAGUAACGCGCGUCCGUCGUUCAAUGGCCGGUUCGAGUCGUCAAACCGUCGCGCUGACGAUUCACCGAAGGAACUUUGUGCGCGAGCUGUAAGGAAAGUAAGCGUGUUCGUGCGAUAAAAUACCGCCGAAUAGCCGCCAAAAAGAGACAGCCCGCGAGUACGGCGAAUGAGUGUCGCCCGUAUCUCAAGAUGAUAUCUCAAGCGUUACGAUGUUCAGUCAGUCGUGGAACGGCGAACGGCGCAGCAGUGCUUGGUAAGCUGCUCUACGUCUUUUGUGAUUUCGCCUAACCAAAGUGCAAAUUUUCGUUACUGAGACUGCCAAAAAUGAUUGUUGCGCGUGUGUGUGCCGGAGAACACAGUGAAUCCUGAAAGUGGACAUAUCUGAAAUAGAACAUCGGGGAUGUCGAGCGAGGUAACCGCGAUCGUUGUGAAAUGACUGUGGGAGAUUGAAAUCGUUAGACUGUGCUUGCUGGAUAAAAGCAUCGUGUGCGAAUCAUCGUGAAUACCGAAAAUGAAUCUCGUAUUGUGAGUAGAAUAUCGUGAAAUAGACACGGACGAUAAGUAUCUCGUGGAGUCGCCAGGAGUGUCGCGUAAAUUUCACUUCGAGCUCGCCUACGCGCCCCUCCUCUCUUUUGGAUAUCGAUCUCAAAAUUGUAUUAAAAAGCUGACAAUCCUCUCAACGGAAAAGAUUGAAUACACGUUCGAAUUGACUAUAUUGAGAUACGGGUAGUUAAGUGCGCUCGUGGCCCACAGAUGGCGGGAGUGCGGCUCGAUCGAUGAGAAACCGAAUCAGCUGCGAAUCCCGCCGCGGUAACAGUCGGUACAAAGCGAGCUGACCUGUCGACGGCGUAUCGCGCGUACAAACUUGCUGCUUACUUGCUGCCGCCGUCUCGCGGCGGAGUUGACGAUUGUUCGCGGCGGCGGUCGACCACACGCAGGGAUACCAACGAGCGUGUGCAGCCACGGCAUACCGUACGCGGUGUCGCGUCAUAAACAACUGCUCGUUACAUCGCCGAGCGCCUUCCCCCCCGAAUUUGUCGUGGACUGGGCCCUCGGUGGCGCACGGCCGCUCCUCGCGACCCGUCCGAUCGCCGGAAGUGAGUUACGAGCGCGUCGCGGCCGCGCAAGGACACUCGUGCUCCGUUAUUUCCACGGGGGCCCUAUCAGUAGUUCGUGUCAGUGCGCGGGUUGGCAAGCAUUGGCCAAGUGCAGUGGAGCUGCCAUUUUCCGUGUGUUGUACGGUGAUAGGGAGAAGGACAGACAGAGAGAAAGAGAGACAGACAGAGAGGGGAAGCGAAAGAGAAAAAGAUAGAGGAAGAGAGAACAGGAGAGGAACAGAGACCGAGAGAGAGUGUAGUGCUGCGGGCGGCUGAGAGGGGCGGGGGGGCUCGAGGAAGAUCCGGAUUUUCGCGCUACGAGAGACAGAUCGCCCUCGUGUGCGAGUUCGCGGGAGGAAAGAACGCGAUCGCUUUCCUCGUAGUGUCGCGCUCGUGAUCGUCGUCGUCAUCGGCACCGUCGUUGACCUCGACAUCUUCAUCGUCGUCAUCGUCGUCGUCACCGCCGUCGUCGUCGUCACCGUCGAGUCUACGCCCGCUGGCAGGUGAGAGGCGCAAGGUGGAGGCCCACGACGCGGGGGCGAGUGUUCGAAACUGGACCGACGAUCAAGGUUAGUGAUCAAGGUAAGCGUAUUAACCGAAAAAUUAGACCAGUUAGAUUGGCGAGCGACUAACGAGAGGGUAACGUACAUCUAUUGUGUGUUAUUUAACAAUGAUACUUCACAAUAAUUUGGCGAAGACCGCAAAAUUAUAUCUAAAAUAAAUCACUUUGUCUUAUCACGCGUACGAGAAGAUUUGCUUUGUUCGGCCUUGUGUGACUUGUGUGAAAGAAAAUUGAAUUAUUAACAUGCACAUUUUUUCGAUUAAACUUUCUCACACGGUUUCUUCAAAGAGAGAUUUUAUUGAUUAAUUAAUAUUUUCAACGUGUCGUUUGUCUCGUCAUCGCUGAAUUAUACGUAUUGGCAAAUUUUACAAUCAGAACAGAAUAAGACAUACGUUGUCGAGACACGCGGUUUCUAGAUGAUAACACGCGUACUCGUGUCGCGGAUUAAUUUAUUUAAGCAAUAAUUUUGCGAAUUCAUCGCGUUACCGACAGAGCCGCCGGGCAAUUUCGCUUGUGUAGCUCGUUCUCCGAUGGCGCCACCAAAUCCUACGGUCCGAUCAUCGUUUGUCAGUUAUCGAUCUUCGUACAGGUCUUUUCAUCCUCCACGGGCGUCGACACGCAGGCGCUCACGUGUCGUGUGAUAACACAGGCCGAUGCAUAUCUCCUCGUCGCAUGUGUAAGACCGAUCAAGUCGACGAACGAAAACUGCGGCACCGUAGAGCUCGCAGGAAGAAAUUAUUCUACGUGUGCGUAAAAUUUUACGCAUACGGCGAUAUUGUCGAUAAGAAUUGUCCGCAAUAUAUUACUUGGAGCGACGCUCUUUAGCAUAUUGGCGUACCCGAAUGAUAAAGAUGUUAAUUUUCUCGCUGCAAAGUAUUUAUUUACAAUGGAGACUCUCUGAAAUGUGCAUCUCUGUUCGAAUAUGCAUUUGAAUGGACACACUUUUUACGCGUUCCUCCUUGAAGCAAACAUGCUUCUUAAGAUGUUCACUGCAAAAAUCCAAGUGUGUUAUUUUAGCUAAAAAUUUUUUUACACGUUCUCAUCGUUCCAAGUCACGUUAUUUGACACAUUUAGAGAGACGUAUUGAAUUAUAAUUUACACGUCUUAAACGUGCCGAAUGACAUGAGUUAAAACCGCAACAAACGUGUACAAAGAGGUUCAGUCACGCUUACGCGUUUAAAGAUAACACACUUUGAUUUGCAGCGUUACAACUGAGAACGAUGCAAUUACGAUCAGGUGUGCAGAAGCAUAGAAAGAAAUGGUCAUCGUCGACAGAGAGAAUCUGCUGCGAUUUACAUGAAUGACGGCGUUACAUGCGCGUAUAGUAACCGGUGAGUGAAUGGAACUAGAGACCGAAUCGGAUUACAGCUAAAAACUGCCGCUCUAGAGAAAGUAUAGUGAUUGGGCACAAGAAUAACUACUUCCUGGCGGCUAGAGUAGUGAGUGGCAAAUCGGCCCAACUGUGACGGCAAGUCGGAGUGAACGAGCGAGCGAGCGAGUUCAGCUUAAAACCCGAAUCGUCCUCCAAGCUCAUUCGCUCACUCGCCGUCGUCGGGUUAUUUCAAUCGAUCGUAGCUCGCAUCUCAUCUCUCAUCAACGAGCACAUGACCUUAUUAAUGUUUACGGUGGAAAGGCGAUCACACGCGGUGGGAGGACGCCGCGUUUGAACUUUAUGUACUUAGCUCCGCGUGCCCGCCGUCCGACGCUUUUACGUAUCGGGAAAAUUAAACGCAUUAAAUUAUUAAUAACCUCCAACGUGGGGGCUCCGGGGAGAAAGGGAGAGGCACCCAAUCCGGGAGGCGAAUUUACCCCCCGGGGGAAACUCGUCCCCUUUCUGCGUGCAGCAGCGCCCUUGUCUUUCUUAUUCUCUCUUUCUCUGUCUCUCUCGACAUGUGUCUCUUUCUCUUUCUCUCUCGAGGGUCCCUCGAGCGACGAGAGGUAGCAUGUGACGCUCAGCUGUAUGUUAAAUCCCGAAAUUAUUACGGCUCGAUGUACUCUCGGAGUGUAGCGCGCGCACGCUCGUAACGAUUACACUGGCGCAGUCGUCGCACGAGGCAGCCACCCGGGGGACGAUGACGACAACAACGACGACGACGACGGGAACAUAGAGCUGGCCACGUGAUGGCGACUCCGAAAAAAGACCGGUGCCCGAAACACAGACGAGCGAUCGCCGUAGAGGGUGGGGCGCGAAAUUAUCAAUUCGUAACGAGACGAAGGGUCGAAUUAGCGUCCCGACGAGUCGAGUCGGUGGACUAGUAAUAACGGUGAAUAGUAAUGACUGGCUUUGACCGAGAACGAGGGGAGAGAUGAGUGCGAAUCGUACGGUUUCGCAUCUCAAGUCCGUGUUUUUACAAAACGCAUACUUCUCCCGCGUGACUUUAACAAGUUGAAGGAAAGAGUAACAAUG